GUGCCAGCCGCUGCGGUAAUACGGAGGGGCUAGCGUUGUUCGGAAUUACUGGGCGUAAAGCGCACGUAGGCGGAUUGGAAAGUUGGAGGUGAAAUCCCAGGGCUCAACCUUGGAACUGCCUUCAAAACUCCCAGUCUUGAGGUCGAGAGAGGUGAGUGGAAUUCCGAGUGUAGAGGUGAAAUUCGUAGAUAUUCGGAGGAACACCAGUGGCGAAGGCGGCUCACUGGCUCGAUACUGACGCUGAGGUGCGAAAGCGUGGGAGCAAACAGGAUUAGAUACCCUGGUAGUCCACGCCGUAAACGAUGAAUGCCAGUCGUCGCAAGCAUG
rnacentral:rRNA from 1 species